AAAACUUUACAAUGCGGGCAACCGUGAUAAGGGAACCUCGAGUGCCUGUAUAUGCAGGCUGUCCAGGUGUCUAAAACACACCUGAAGAAAGGGCCGGGCAAGACCGGUGCCAGCCGCCGCGGUAAUACCGGCGGCUCGAGUGGUGGCCACUUUUAUUGGGCUUAAAGCGUUCGUAGCUGGGUUGUUAAGUCUCUUGGGAAAUCUGGCAGCUUAACUGUCAGGCGUCUAAGGGAUACUGGCAAUCUUGGGACCGGGAGAGGUGAGGGGUACUUCGGGGGUAGGAGUGAAAUCCUGUAAUCCUCGAGGGACCACCUGUGGCGAAGGCGCCUCACCAGAACGGCUUCGACAGUGAGGGACGAAAGCUGGGGGAGCAAACCGGAUUAGAUACCCGGGUAGUCCCAGCCGUAAACGAUGUGCGUUAGGUGUAUCGACGACCACGAGUCGUCGAGGUGCCGAAGGGAAACCGUGAAACGUACCGCCUGGGAAGUACGGUCGCAAGGCUGAAACUUAAAGGAAUUGGCGGGGGAGCACCACAACAGGUGGAGCCUGCGGUUUAAUUGGACUCAACGCCGGAAAUCUCACCGGAUAAGACAGCUGAAUGAUUGCCGGGCUGAAGACUCUGCAUGACUAGCUGAGAGGAGGUGCAUGGCCGUCGUCAGUUCGUACUGUGAAGCAUCCUGUUAAGUCAGGCAACGAGCGAGACCCACGCCAACAGUUGCCAGCAUGAUCUCCGGAUUGAUGGGGACACUGUUGGGACCGCCUCUGCUAAAGAGGAGGAAGGAAUGGGCAACGGUAGGUCAGCAUGCCCCGAAUUAUCCGGGCUACACGCGGGCUACAAUGGGCAGGACAAUGGGUAUCGACACCGAAAGGUGAAGGCAAUCUCCUAAACCUGUCCUUAGUUCGGAUUGUGGGCUGUAACUCGCCCACAUGAAGCUGGAAUCUGUAGUAAUCGCGUUUCAAAAUAGCGCGGUGAAUGUGUCCCUGCUCC
rnacentral:rRNA from 1 species